rnacentral:rRNA from 1 species
AUUGAACGCUGGCGGCAGGCUUAACACAUGCAAGUCGAACGAGCGGCGGACGGGUGAGUAAUGUCUGGGAAACUGCCUGAUGGAGGGGGAUAACUACUGGAAACGGUAGCUAAUACCGCAUACCAUCGGAUGUGCCCAGAUGGGAUUAACUAGUAGGUGGGGUAAAGGCUCACCUAGGCGACGAUCCCUAGCUGGUCUGCGAGGAUGACCAGUCACACGGGAACUGAGACACGGUCCAGACUCCUACGGGAGGCAGCAGUGGGGAAUAUUGCACAAUGGGCGCAAGCCUGAUGCAGCCAUGCCGCGUGUCUGAAGAAGGACUUCGGGUUGUAAAGCACUUUCAGCGAGGAGGCGUUACUCGCAGAAGAAGCACCGGCUAACUCCGUGCCAGCAGCCGCGGUAAUUC